rnacentral:rRNA from 1 species
GACGAACGCUGGCGGCGUGCUUAACACAUGCAAGUCGAACGGAAAGGCCCUGCUUUUGUGGGGUGCUCGAGUGGCGAACGGGUGAGUAACACGUGAGUAGCCUGCCCUUGACUUUGGGAUAACUUCAGGAAACUGGGGCUAAUACCGGAUAGGAGCUCCUGCUGCAUGGUGGGGGUUGGAAAGUUUCGGCGGUUGGGGAUGGACUCGCGGCUUAUCAGCUUGUUGGUGGGGUAGUGGCUUACCAAGGCUUUGACGGGUAGCCGGCCUGAGAGGGUGACCGGCCACAUUGGGACUGAGAUACGGCCCAGACUCCUACGGGAGGCAGCAGUGGGGAAUAUUGCACAAUGGGCGGAAGCCUGAUGCAGCAACGCCGCGUGCGGGAUGACGGCCUUCGGGUUGUAAACCGCUUUCGCCUGUGACGAAGCGUGAGUGACGGUAAUGGGCAAAGAAGCACCGGCUAACUACGUG